GAUGAACGCUGGCGGCGUGCCUAAUACAUGCAAGUCGAGCGAAUGGAUUAAGAGCUUGCUCUUAUGAAGUUAGCGGCGGACGGGUGAGUAACACGUGGGUAACCUGCCCAUAAGACUGGGAUAACUCCGGGAAACCGGGGCUAAUACCGGAUAACAUUUUGAACCGCAUGGUUCGAAAUUGAAAGGCGGCUUCGGCUGUCACUUAUGGAUGGACCCGCGUCGCAUUAGCUAGUUGGUGAGGUAACGGCUCACCAAGGCAACGAUGCGUAGCCGACCUGGGAGGGUGAUCGGCCACACUGGGACUGAGACACGGCCCAGACUCCUACGGGAGGCAGCAGUAGGGAAUCUUCCGCAAUGGACGAAAGUCUGACGGAGCAACGCCGCGUGAGUGAUGAAGGCUUUCGGGUCGUAAAACUCCGUUGUUAGGGGAGAACAAGUGCUAGUUGAAUAAGCUGGCACCUUGACGGUACCUAACCAGAAAGCCACGGCUAACUACGUGCCAGCCGCCGCAGUAA
rnacentral:rRNA from 1 species